rnacentral:rRNA from 1 species
GGCGACCGGCGCACGGGUAAGUAACGCGUAUGCAACUUGCCUAUCAGAGGGGGAUAACCCGGCGAAAGUCGGACUAAUACCGCAUGAAGCAGGGGCCCCGCAUGGGGAUAUUUGCUAAAGAUUCAUCGCUGAUAGAUAGGCAUGCGUUCCAUUAGGCAGUUGGCGGGGUAACGGCCCACCAAACCGACGAUGGAUAGGGGUUCUGAGAGGAAGGUCCCCCACAUUGGUACUGAGACACGGACCAAACUCCUACGGGAGGCAGCAGUGAGGAAUAUUGGUCAAUGGCCGAGAGGCUGAACCAGCCAAGUCGCGUGAGGGAUGAAGGUUCUAUGGAUCGUAAACCUCUUUUAUAAGGGAAUAAAGUGCGGGACGUGUCCCGUUUUGUAUGUACCUUAUGAGUAAGGAUCGGCUAACUCCGUGCCAGCAGCCGCGGUAAUACGGAGGAUCCGAGCGUUAUCCGGAUUUAUUGGGUUUAAAGGGUGCGUAGGCGGCCUUUUAAGUCAGCGGUGAAAGUCUGUGGCUCAACCAUAGAAUUGCCGUUGAAACUGGGGGGCUUGAGUAUGUUUGAGGCAGGCGGAAUGCGUGGUGUAGCGGUGAAAUGCAUAGAUAUCACGCAGAACCCCGAUUGCGAAGGCA